rnacentral:rRNA from 1 species
UACGUAGGGGGGCAAGCGUUGUCCGGAAUCAUUGGGCGUAAAGCGCGUGUAGGCGGCCCGGUAAGUCCGCUGUGAAAGUCGGGGGCUCAACCCUCGAAUGCCGGUGGAUACUGUCGGGCUAGAGUGCGGAAGAGGCGAGUGGAAUUCCUGGUGUAGCGGUGAAAUGCGCAGAUAUCAGGAGGAACACCAAUAGCGAAGGCAGCUCGCUGGGACGGUAUUGACGCUAAGGCGCGAAAGCGUGGGGAGCAAACAGG